rnacentral:rRNA from 1 species
UACGGGGGGGAGCAAGCGUUGUUCGGAUUUACUGGGCGUAAAGCGUGCGCAGGCGGUUUGCUAAGAGAGAUGUGAAAAUCCCCCGGGCUUAACCUGGGAACUGCGUUUCUAACUGGCAGGCUUGAGUGUGGCAGAGGGGGGUGGAAUUCCAGGUGUAGCGGUGAAAUGCGUAGAUAUCUGGAGGAACACCGGUGGCGAAGGCGGCAUCCUGGACCAAUUCUGACGCUGAGGAGCGAAAGCCAGGGGAGCAAAGCGGG